AAGUCGUAACAAGGUCUCCGUAGGUGAACCUGCGGAGGGAUCAUUAACACGUUUAACACGUUAUCAACCAAACGCGAACCCGAAACUCUAGGAGUUUCAGAACCGACCUGAAAGAAAGUAAUCGUUUAGUUCUACUAGUGAUGGGCGAAAUGAGUUGGCGCAAGCUGAUUUAUAGUAGCGGUAGAAUUGGACUUACAUAGCUCGACUAUGAAGAUUAUUUUCUCUCAGGUUAAACCAUUUCUUUUCAUCACAGGAAAGCAAAAACCCCUUUCACCCCCUAUGACAAUUGACUGACUACUAUCAAAUGGGAGAAAUCCUAAUUGAUAUUUAAACAAAUAAAAGCACAACUCUUAGCAACGGAUAUCUAGGUUCUC
rnacentral:misc_RNA from 1 species